UGGGGAAUUUUGGACAAUGGGGGCAACCCUGAUCCAGCAAUGCCGCGUGUGUGAAGAAGGCCUUCGGGUUGUAAAGCACUUUUGUCCGGGAAGAAAUCGCACCUGAUAAUACCGGGUGUGGAUGACGGUACCGGAAGAAUAAGGACCGGCUAACUACGUGCCAGCAGCUGCGGUAAUACGUAGGGUCUAAGCGUUAAUCGGAAUUACUGGGCGUAAAGCGUGCGCAGGCGGUUGUGCAAGACCGAUGUGAAAUCCCCGGGCUUAACCUGGGAAUUGCAUUGGUGACUGCACGGCUAGAGUGUGUGAGAGGGGGGUAGAAUUCCACGUGUAGCAGUGAAAUGCGUAGAGAUGUGGAGGAAGACCGAUGGCGAAGGCAACCCCCUGGGAUAACACUGACGCUCAUGCACGAAAGCGUGGGAAGCAAACAGG
rnacentral:rRNA from 1 species